rnacentral:rRNA from 1 species
AUUGAACGCUGGCGGCAGGCCUAACACAUGCAAAUCGAGCGAGCGGCGGACGGGUGAGUAAUGCCUGGGAAUUGCCCAGUCGAGUGGGAUAACAGUUGGAAACGACUGCUAAUACCGCAUACGAUUGGAUUGCCCAGGUGGGAUUAGCUAGUUGGUGAGGUAAUGGCUCACCAAGGCGACGCUCCCUAGCUGGUCUGAGAGGAUGAUCAGCCACACUGGAACUGAUACACGGUUCAGACGCCUACGGGAGGCAGCAGUGGGGAAUAUUGCACAAUGGGGGAAACGCUGAUGCAGCAAUGCAGAGUGUGUGAAGAAGGCCUGCGGGUUGUAAAGCACUUGCAGCGAGGAGGCGUUACUCGCAGAAGAAGAACCGGCUAACUCAGUGCCAGCAGCCGCGGUAAUAC